rnacentral:rRNA from 1 species
UCUUGUAAUGAUUCCUACAAUGUUAAUGCACCGAAUCUCAUCAGAAAUCUACAGUUAAGUUUGCUUGGACUAGAGUAGUACUAGGAUGGGUGACCUCCCAAGAAGUCCUAGUGUUUUACAUGCC